CGUUCCUACGGGACGCAGCAGUAAGGGAUAUUGGUCAAUGGGGGAAACCCUGAUGCAGCAACGCCGCGUGAGUGAUGACGGCCUUCGGGUUGUAAAGCUCUGUCUUCAGGGACGAUAAUGACGGUACCUGAGGAGGAAGCCACGGCUAACUACGUGCCAGCAGCCGCGGUAAUACGUAGGUGGCGAGCGUUGUCCGGAUUUACUGGGCGUAAAGGGAGCGUAGGCGGACUUUUAAGUGAGAUGUGAAAUACUCGGGCUCAACUUGAGUGCUGCAUUUCAAAUUGGAAGUCUAGUGUG
rnacentral:rRNA from 1 species